rnacentral:lncRNA from 1 species
UUUAACCAGAAGAUUCUUUUUCCUCUCUAUCAAGUCAUCACUUUCCACAUUUUAUGGAAAGAAGUUUUAUCUUUUCUUGUUAAGCUAUUGGUGAAUUUUUAACUUUGGGGUUUUGUUUCGGAUAGGUAUUGGGAGAAGGAGAGGCUGUCAACCCAUGCCACUAUGCUAUCUCUAAUUCUGCCAUCCAGACCGAGCAAACGUACUUAAGACCUUUGUGUAAGAUCAGAAAAUCAUAAGACAGCAUUAAAAAGUACUAUACAGGAGGAGAUGGAACAAGAUGGCCAAAUAGAAGCCUCCAGCAAUCAUCUCCCCGAAAGGAAUUGAACAACUAUCAAAACAAAAUUGAACAACUAUCUAAACAAAAAAGUACCUUCAUAAAAAACAAAAAUCAGGACAAUAUCAGAACGGCACAUACAAGUGUCCCCAAGUCAUAUUUGGAAUAAGAUCACUUGGGAACACAAGUCAAAGAAGGACACAGUGUUCUGCCUCUCCUGAGUAAGCAGCAACAACGCACCAUCUUGGAAUCAGGGGACGGCCCUCACCAGACAACUAAAUCUGCAGACACCUUGGACUUCCCAGCCUCCAGAACUGUCUUUCUGGCAACUGUCUAAACAUAAACCAGAGAAGGGCAAGGCAGACUCAGGAAGGACAAAUAGAAGGCUAUUUUCAUAAAUCGGACCACCACCACAUGUGCAGCAUCCCUCUGGGUCUCUUCCAUGACAACCCUGUGGGAAGCCAGCUUGGCAGGUCACCUUGUUCUAGCAGAUAGAAACUGAAUCAAUAUGGGAAGAGCCAGAAUUUGGACAAGGUUCACCAAACAUUCACACUGAUGCCAGAAACUCAUCAUACAGUUUGGAGAUAACAUUUGUUGAAGGAGAGAAGAAAAGAGGAGAGAGGAAUGGAGUGAGGCAGAAAGGAAAUGAUGACGAGCUACUCUUCAAAAUUAAGCUGGAUAACAACAAGAAAUUCUAGAAAGCAAUUGAGGCAACCUCCACCCUAAGACCCAGGUAAACCCUACAUUUAAAGUGCUGUUCUGGGGCACAGUGAAAGAUUUCUGCCAGAAAAUUUGCUCCCUAGGAUUUACAUGAUGAUGAGAUUACAUGCUGCCUUGUGGCAACAAAAUCAAAAGUCUGUAAAAGAAAAAGCGUGCUAUGCUUCUGAAUGUUUGGAGAUCCUACAAUAGAUUUUUCAUUCAGCUAUUUUGUUGCUGCUUCAUGAGCACA